CCUACGGGUGGCAGCAGUGGGGCAUAUUGGGCAAUGGAGGAGACUCUGACCCAGCAAAGCCGCGUGAGUGAAGAAGGUCUUCGGGUUGGAAAGUUCUUUAGUCAGGGAAGCAUAAAAUGACGGUACCUGAAGAAUAAGCUCCGGCGAACUACAUGCCAGCACCCGCGGUAAUACGUAGGGAGCAAGCGUUGUGCGGAAUGACUGGGCGUCAAGGGUGCGUAGGUGGUUAUACAAGUUAGAAGUGAAAUACCCAGGGCUUAACUCGGGUGCUGCCGCUAAAACUGGAAGCCUUGAGUGCAGUAGAGGUUAGUGGAAUGCGUGGUGUAGCGGUGGAAUGCGUAGAUAUUAGGAGGAACACCAGAGGCGAAGGCGGCAAACUGGACCGCAACUGACGCUGAGGCACGAAAGUGUGGGUAUCAAACAGGAUUAGAUACCCGGGUAGUC
rnacentral:rRNA from 1 species